UACGUAGGGGGCAAGCGUUGUCCGGAAUUAUUGGGCGUAAAGCGCGUGUAGGCGGCUAUCCAAGUCAGUGGUGAAAGCCCGGAGCUCAACUCCGGAACUGCCAUUGAAACUGUUUAGCUUGAGGAUGAGAGAGGUGAGUGGAAUUCCCAGUGUAGAGGUGAAAUUCGUAGAUAUUGGGAAGAACACCGGUGGCGAAGGCGGCUCACUGGCUCAUUACUGACGCUCAGGCGCGAUAGCGUGGGGAUCAAACAGG
rnacentral:rRNA from 1 species